AAUUUGGAGAGUUUGAUCCUGGCUCAGGACGAACGCUGGCGGCGUGCCUAAUACAUGCAAGUCGAGCGGACUUGAUGAAGUGCUUGCACUUCUGAUGGUUAGCGGCGGACGGGUGAGUAACACGUAGGUAACCUGCCUAUAAGACUGGGAUAACAUUCGGAAACGAAUGCUAAUACCGGAUACACGAUUUGGUCGCAUGGCUGAAUCGGGAAAGACGGAGCAAUCUGUCACUUAUAGAU
rnacentral:rRNA from 1 species